UACGAAGGGGGCUAGCGUUGUUCGGAAUUACUGGGCGUAAAGCGCAACGUAGGCGGGUUGUUAAGUCAGGGGUGAAAUCCUGGAGCUCAACUCCAGAACUGCCUUUGAUACUGAGGAUCUUGAGUUCGGGAGAGGUGAGUGGAACUGCGAGUGUAGAGGUGAAAUUCGUAGAUAUUCGCAAGAACACCAGUGGCGAAGGCGGCUCACUGGCCCGAUACUGACGCUGAGGCACGAAAGCGUGGGGAGCAAACAGG
rnacentral:rRNA from 1 species